rnacentral:rRNA from 1 species
UCAGCAGCCGCGGUAAUACAGAGGGUGCAAGCGUUGUUCGGAAUUAUUGGGCGUAAAGCGCGUGUAGGCGGUGACGUAUGUCGCGUGUGAAAGCCCUCGGCUCAACCGAGGAAGUGCGCGCGAAACUACGUUGCUAGAGUGCCGGAGAGGGUGGCGGAAUUCCGGGUGUAGAGGUGAAAUUCGUAGAUAUCCGGAGGAACACCAGUGGCGAAGGCGGCCACCUGGACGGACACUGACGCUGAGACGCGAAAGCGUGGGUAGCAAACAGGAUUAGAUACCCUGGUAGUCCACGCCGUAAACGAUGGGAACUAGCUGUGGUGGGAGUUGACCCCUGCCGUGGCGCAGCUAACGCAUUAAGUUCCCCGCCUGGGAAGUACGGCCGCAAGGCUAAAACUUAAAGGAAUUGGCGGGGGAU